CCUACGGGAGGCAGCAGUGGGGAAUAUUGGUCAAUGGACGCAAGUCUGACCCAGCCACGUCGCGUGAAGGAAGAAGGCUCUCGGGUUGUAAACUUUCUUUAAGGGGGAAGAGGAGUAGACGGUACCCCUUGAAUAAGCUACGGCUAAUUACGUGCCAGCAGCUGCGGUAAUCCGCAGGUGGCAAGUGUUGUCCGGAUUUACUGGGUGUAAAGGGCGUGCAGCCUGGCCGACAAGUAAGAUGUGAAUGCCGCGGGCGUAACCCGAGAACUGCAUUUGAAACUAUAGGUCUUGAGUGCCGGAGAGGUGAUCGGAAUUCCUUGUGUAGCGGUGAAAUGCGUAGAUAUAAGGAAGAACACCAGUGGCGAAGGCAGAUUACUGGACGGUAACUGACGGUGAGGCGCGAAAGCGUGGGGAGCAAACAGGAUUAGAUACCCUAGUAGUC
rnacentral:rRNA from 1 species